GUGUGUAUAUAUAUAUAUAUAUUCUCUAUUCAGGACAUUGUAUCAUGCAGAAAUUCAUACAUAAGAUAAUCCUCCAAAUAUGAUGACCAGAUAGUUUCAGAAUCUUCAAGUUGUUGCCUCUCUUUCAAUCCUUGAAACGAGACAUCAUCAUCAUCAUCAGUAUUGUCAUCUUCCGAGUUAUGAUCAAAUAUUAGAUGGAUUCCACACUUGAGUAUGACCUCGCUGAUAUAUGAUGCAUCAUCAUCAUCAUCGGUCUUAGCAGAGAAUUGAAACGACGCCUUGUGGAAUUUCUUGGAAUCAGAAGUAAUGGUGGAAUUCCAAAGGGAGAUGUCAUUCAUAUUGACCAAUGUACUAUCGCAACAAUAACUGAGGCUAUCUCCAGACUCAGCUAUGAAUUGGCAUUCGCAUAAAAUACGACUGAAAUUACAUGAAUGAUUAGCUUUGGGUGCGACUAAAGCACAAAAAGCGAUCUUGAUGAAGUUGGUAGCAUGGGGUGCUGUGAGAGAGAAUGACAAUGAAGAUCCAUUAUCAUUUUUAUACAUCAUCCAUUCCGGCACUUCACUUCCUGGGAUGCAUAACCAAUCCUUCCAAUUAAAAUUCGUUGCAUUAGCCUUUUUGUUCAGAUAUUGUUCCUCUGGUUGUCCCAUGCUUUGAAGUUUCAGCAGUAUUAAUUCACUGCAUUUGCUAAGAUUCAUCGCCAAACAGGAAUUCAUAUAUCCUUGUAUGAAUGAGCUCGAUACAGAUUCCAGAGAUGUGCAGUUUUCUGCAAAUAACCUCAUUAGACCUGAUGGAAGCUCUGGCAAAAAUUCAAGCCUCUUGCAAUCACUUAAAACAAGUGUUGUCAACUUGGAACAUUGCUUGAUGGUUGUAGGUAUGCUUCUGAAAUUAUUUCCACUUAAAUGUAAAUAUACCAAUGACCCUAAAGAGCCAAGAUUACUGGGAAUUUCCGAUAUACCACAACCCUUGAGAGAAAGCCUCCAAAGACGGGCCAAACCUGUGAAAGGAGGCAAUAUCAAACCUUCACAUCCUUCACAGUCCAAGUUAUUUAAUUUCUUCAACUGAUUGAUAGAAGAUGGUAGUUCUUUUAUACCACUUCUAGUUGCUAUCAGCUCCUCCAGAGAUUCCAAGUACCCCAAGUUCUCCAGCAAUGUAUAGAGAUUCACACAAUCUGUGAUGUCUAGCCACUUUAGAGAUUUCAGAUUGCAUAUGCUGUUUGGAAGACUAGCUAGCUUUGAGCAUUUUCCAAGAUCUAGAUCUAUAAUCUUACCAUGAUACUUAGUAGAUGAAGAAACUUCAACCAAACUAGUACAGCCUCUCAAAAUUAUAACCUCAAGUUUUGGGAAUUUCGACAGGUCUGGAAUUCUGAUCAGAUGUUCCGAGUUGCUGAGGUCCAUAAAUUUCAACUUUUUAAGACACGGAGCAUAGUCGUUCCAAAGUUGUUUGAGUUGGCUACCGCGCAUGUGCAAUUCAACAAGAUUUUCAGGGCAAAAUUUCGAUGGCAAUGAUUUCAAAGGGUAUUGAUCCCAGUAGAGAAACCUCAGCUCAUUUGGAAGAAAUUUCAGGCCUUUAGGAAGAUGUAACUUGAUUUCCUCACAGCAAGGAUUAUAAAAUUUGAGCAAUCUAAGCUUAUCAAAUUUCUCAAAGCAAGAAGGAUAUAGUUCCGUCUUUCUAAUUUUGGACAAGUCCAGUGAUAUGGCUUCAACACUUUCAGCCACUUUUUCUUUUGUCAGUAUGUCACAUAUAUCCUUGGCAUUCCACAACCUGCUACGCUUUCUGGGCUCUUUAUUUUCCUUGCAAACAAUAUUCUUACCCAUUUGUUGUAGCAAGUCAUGCAUCUGUAACUUCUCAUUCCGGGUAGUAGUUACGAGACACUUAUCAAGCAGACAACUUAUUCCAAUUUCUGGAAAAAAACCCACAACAAUCUAAUGUAUUUUUUACACGCUCUUCAUCUUCCCCUUUAAAAAAACAUGCAAUAUCGAGAAAUAUAUUCUUUUCAUUAUGAUCUAGUCCAUCAUAACUUCUUCUCAGAAUGUCCUGAAUAUCCAUGUUCGGAAUAGUUUCAAGUUUUUUCAACUCACUUUCCCAUUCUUUCACACCUUUACCAUACAGGCUGCAGCCUAAAACCUUAAGGGCUAAUGGAACUCCUCGAGUAUAACUUAUCACUCUAUUAGAUAGCUGCGUCAUGUAUCCGUUAGGGGGAUGGGUUUGUUUGAAGGCAUGCAAGCUAAAGAGUUGCAGAGUUUCAGAAUCAAUUAACUUCUCAACCUCAUAUACGCCUUUCUCUGAAAAAUCAGAAUUAAGUACGUGUGAAUCUCUACUAGUUAUGAUGAUUCUACUUCCCUCACCAUACAAAUCACACUCUCCUGCUAAAUCUUUUAAAUGGUUUCGAUCCUCUACAUCAUCAAAAACAAUCAAUAUCUUCUUCUCCUUGAGCCUGCUCCUAAUAAAAGGACCCCAAAACAAUGUGUCUUCAAGUAAUUUUUUUUCUCUUAAUAACUGACGAAUGAUAAUAUUUCGCAGUUGUUUUAUGGUUUUUUCCCUAACCUUAUCAAGAAAGCAAUGACCAUCAAAUUUCAUCAUGUUUCGACGAAAUACUUCUUGUGCAAUAGUUGUUUUACCAAUGCCUCCCAUCCCCCAAAUUCCUACAAUUUGCUUAUCAGUUAACAACCGUUCCACUUCUUCCACACGCAGUUUAAUUCCAAUCAAGUUGCGAUCAUAAGAAUCAUCACUUUUAGACAUAUCGCUAAAUUUGUUUGAAACAUCAUUGACAAUUCCAUCAACUAAUUCGGCCUCAGACUUGAUUUUCUGUGAAUCCCAUCCUGAUAAGUUGCUUACUUCCAUCAAAGCACGCUUCCAGUUGUCCACCUUUUGUGAAUUGCCUUUUUCCCCAUGCAUAGCAGUAGCAAAUGCCUCCCCAAAAUUCCCUGAAAGCUUUUGAACGUCAGUUGGAUCUACCUUGUAAAAAACUGGUAGAACUAUUUGUCCUGAUUCUUCCUUGCAUUUAAGUAUCUCAACAAGCUCAUCCAAACACCAUGGAGAAUCUGCAUAAUUUUCAGAGAAAAUGACUAUUGAGACACUUGAUUCCCGGAUUAUUUUCAAGAGCUCUGGUGAGAUCUCUUCUCCUUUAUGGAGCUCUUCAUCCGUAAAAGUCUUGAUUUGUUUGUCCUUCAAGGCUUUAGAGAGAUGGGAGAGAAUACCAUAACGCGUAUCGUCGCCUCUAAAACUAAUAAAAACAUCCCAUUUCUUCCCCUGAUUGGGAGUAGUGGAAGAAGUAGAAGCCAUGAUAAGUGAUAAAAGAAGGAUCUUGUGCAACUGAGUUUGCAGAAGGUAGAGAAAGCAAAAUACUAGAGAUGAAUAUUUGGGUAGACUAGUCUGAUGCAAGAAAUUUAU
rnacentral:misc_RNA from 1 species